CCCUACGGGGCGCAGCAGGCGCGAAAACUCUACAAUGCAGGCAACUGCGAUAGGGGAACAUCGAGUGAUACUCAUAUUGGGUGUCUGUCCCACCGUCUAAAAAACGGUGGUUAGCAAGGGCCGGGCAAGACCGGUGCCAGCCGCCGCGGUAAUACCGGCGGCUCGAGUGGUGGCCGAUAUUAUUGAGUCUAAAGGGUCCGUAGCCGGCUUUGCAAGUCUUUUGGGAAAUCCAGCGGCUUAACCGUUGGUCGUCCGGGAGAUACUACAUUGCUUGGGACUGGGAGAGGUAGGAGGUACUCAGGGGGUAGGAGUGAAAUCCUGUAAUCC
rnacentral:rRNA from 1 species